GAAGAGCCUCCUUCAAAAUAUAGCUUGACUCUGAUUCGUGGCAAAAAAAAAAAAAAAAAAGAGCUGGAAUAAUCCUGCCAGGUCUUAGAAGCUUUACGAUUAAUUGCAUUGAACUUGAUACACAGAAAAUAGCACCUUGAAAAUGAAUCAUUUGCUACUUCAGUAUUUUCUAAUUACCAUCACUCCCUCUCGGGGCAUGUAAUUAAUUUACGGAGUCUAAAAAAAAAAACAG
ensembl:misc_RNA